rnacentral:rRNA from 1 species
AGAAUCAACGCUGGCGGCGUGCCUCAGACAUGCAAGUCGAACGAUUAAAGCUCCCUUCGGGGAGUGCAUAGAGUGGCGCACGGGUGAGUAACACGUAAGUAAUCUACCCUCGGGUGGGGAAUAACGUUCGGAAACGAACGCUAAUACCGCAUAAUGCAGCGGCACCGCAAGGUGACAGUUGUUAAAGAUUUAUUGCCGUGGGGGGGAGCUUGCGGCAGAUUAGCUUGUUGGUAAGGUACGGCUUACCAAGGCUACGAUCUGUAUCCGGUCUAAGAGGACGGUCGGACACACUGACACUGAAUAACGGGUCAGACU